UACAGUAGUCAUCCUUUAUCUAAGAUUUCACUUUCGGUGGUUUUAGUUACCUGAGGUCAACCAAGACCCCAAAAUAAGUAAUGAAUGGAGAAAAUAGGAAAAGAAGAUUCUGAAAAAAUUUUCACAAGUCCUUAAGUGAAGGUAAACUUUUUGAUCAGGGAGAGGAAAAUCUGGUGAAAUGGAGUUCCCAACAUUCAUUUUAUCUACUCCCCACUGUUAAAUAUUUCAUGGUGAUGUUUACAAAAAUGAGUCUUUAUGCAGAGUUAAGACAAGGCAAGUACAAGCUACUUACCAAUCUGUUUUAAAAGAAAAUUAUAAGUGUUUACAUGGAGAA